rnacentral:rRNA from 1 species
GACGAACGCUGGCGGCGUGCCUAAUACAUGCAAGUCGAGCGCAGGAAACUGACGGAACUCUUCGGAGGGAAGGCAGUGGAAUGAGCGGCGGACGGGUGAGUAACACGUAAGGAACCUGCCUCAAGGAUUGGGAUAACUCCGAGAAAUCGGAGCUAAUACCGGAUAGUUCAUCGGACCGCAUGGUCCGUUGAUGAAAGGCGCUUCGGCGUCACCUUGAGAUGGCCUUGCGGUGCAUUAGCUAGUUGGUGGGGUAAUGGCCCACCAAGGCGACGAUGCAUAGACGACCUAGGAGGGUGAUCGGCCACACUGGGACUGAGACACGGCCCAGACUCCUACGGGAGGCAGCAGCAGGGAAUCUUCCACAAUGGACGAAAGUCUGAUGGAGCAACGCCGCGUGAGUGAUGAAGGUUUUCGGAUCGUAAAACUCUGUUGUAAGGGAAGAACACGUACGAGAGGGAAUGCUCGUACCUUGACGGUACCUUACGAGAAAGCCACGGCUAACUACGUGCCAGCAGCCGCCGUAACAC